rnacentral:tRNA from 1 species
GAUAAUGAAGUAAAAUAUUACAUUUAGUUUCGACCUAAAAUUAGGAAAAUCUUCCCUUAUCU